UGAACCUGGUUGAUCCUGCCAGUAGUCAUAUGCUUGUCUCAAAGAUUAAGCCAUGCAUGUCUGAGUUUAAACUAAAUUAUGGUGAAGCUGCGAAUGGCUCAUUAUAUCAGUUAUGAUAUGCUCAAUUGCCUUGCUUACAUGGAUAACUGUGGUAAUUCUAGAGCUAAUACAUGCACAUGCACCUGACUUCUCAG
rnacentral:rRNA from 1 species